rnacentral:rRNA from 1 species
UCUUGCAAACUAAAGAUGGCGACCGGCGCACGGGUGAGUAACACGUAUCCAACCUGCCGAUAACUCGGGGAUAGCCUUUCGAAAGAAAGAUUAAUAUCCGAUAGUAUAUUAAAACCGCAUGGUUUUACUAUUAAAGAAUUUCGGUUAUCGAUGGGGAUGCGUUCCAUUAGGUUGUUGGUGGGGUAACGGCCCACCAAGCCUUCGAUGGAUAGGGGUUCUGAGAGGAAGGUCCCCCACAUUGGAACUGAGACACGGUCCAA